UACGGGGGGGGUAAGCGUUGUUCGGAAUUACUGGGCGUAAAGGGCGCGUAGGCGGCCUUCUAAGUCGAACGUGAAAUCCCCGGGCUCAACCCGGGAACUGCGUCCGAUACUGGGAGGCUUGAAUCCGGGAGAGGGAUGUGGAAUUCCAGGUGUAGCGGUGAAAUGCGUAGAUAUCUGGAGGAACACCGGUGGCGAAGGCGGCAUCCUGGACCGGUAUUGACGCUGAGGCGCGAAAGCUAGGGGAGCAAACGGG
rnacentral:rRNA from 1 species